rnacentral:lncRNA from 1 species
GCUGCUAUGAACAUAGGGGUGCAUGUAUCUUUUUGAUACAAUUCUAUAAUUUAAGAUUAAUAAUUACAUUUUAGGAAAAGAAAACCAUUAAUGUCAGUGGUAGCAUCACUGCUAUUCAGUUGAACCAUAAGAAACUGCCAAUAAUCAGCUGUUUUUUGACAUAUAAAAUAACAGUUUUAUAUGGUUAAACUUAACACAUGCCAUGUUUUCUGCAGUUACCCCCUGAAUAUGAUCCAGUGCAUUUGGUAUAGGUUUCUGAGUAAGCUGGAGAAAGCUAUAGAAACUAACAAGUAACCCAAUUGUCCCACUUCACAUACAACUAACUAAAGUUGAAGUUAUUUCCUUUAAAGGGAGGUCACUUAAACUGAUUGCCAGAUUUUAACUGUUCAGUUGUGAUAUCAUGAUUCUUAUCAAUACAUCACAGCAAGUAACAUUCUAAGUGAAUAGAAUUAGCUCUCCUUAGUUCUCCUGGAGAAAAAUAAAAUCUCUUUGCUUCUGCCACCUUGUUGCCAAUUUCAUUUUCCUGCUUUGCUAGUUUUCAAUAGAAGAAUUUCUAUGAUUUUAUGAAGACUUUGCUUUUCCAGAAAAAAAAGUAUUUGGACCCAUGGCUUAAAGGACUUGCUUCUUUUCAGGACGCCAGGCAAAAAGGUUAACUGGUAAGAAAUCUAUAUUUGGUUUAAAAAGUGUGUAAAUUCAGUACCUGUUGUGCCCUAAGCCCAGGAGGAAACAGAAAACAGAAGAAUGGGAUCCAGUUCCUUCCCUUUAGAGCUCAGUCAGUGUCUGGUGCAGGAAUGAUCAAGACAAUCACCUGAGGCAAAGCUAUGAGCAAAAGUCCAAAGGGAUUUUGGAAGGGACUCACUCCGAAUGCAGCCAGCCGAUCCCAAGCUUUCUUGUGGAACUCUGGUGUUACUUGUAAGCUCUUUUUUUUGUUGUUCUGUUUUGUGUUUUGCUUUUUUUUUUUUUUUUCCCCUCCUGAUGGUACGACCUUGUCUUCAGACUCCCUACUCUUCACUUUUCGUGGACACUCAGAAAAGACUAGUCGGUUCCCAAGAAGGGUGACCUGGAACAGUCUCUUUCCCCAGAAGAUAGAAUAGCUCAGUGUGGGAGUUCCCGUUGUAGCUCAGCCGGUUAAGAACCCGACAUAGGGUCCAUGAGGAUGCAGGUUCCCAGGCUAGGGAUUGAAUUAGACCUAUAGCUGCCAGUCUAUACCACAGCCACAGCAACACAGGAUCUGAGCCAUGUCUGCGACCUACCCCACAGCCUCAUGGCAACACCAGAUCCUUAGCCCACUGAACGAGGCCAGGGAUCGACCCCGCAACCUCAUGGUUCCUAGUCGGAUUCAUUUCCGCCGUACCAGACGGAACUCCCUGAGCUAUUUUUUAUCAACAGUGUACUCUCGGGGCCUAGGCAUAGUAAGCCAACAAUGACUGUGAAUGACUAAGUCGAUCAAAAGAAUAGAAUAUGACCAGCUCCCAUUAGUGGACCACUUACUAUGUGCCAAGCACUGUGCCAGGCUCUUUGCAUAAGUAAUUCCACCAGAGGAGUUCCCAUGGUGGCUCAGCAGGUUGAGGACCCAAUGCUGUCUCUGUGAGGAUGCAGGUUUGAUUCCUGGCCUCCCUCGGUGGGUGAAGGAUCCAGCAUUGCUGCAAGCUGCAGCAUAGUUUGCAGAUAUGGCUUGGAUCUGACGUUGCCAGCAGCUGUAGCUCCAACUUGACCCAUGGCCCAGGAACUUUCACAUGCCACAGGUACAACCAUCAAAAUAAAAAUAAUAAUAAUGAUAAUAAAUAAUAAUUCCAUCAGACUGGUGGAACCAUUGAUGGUACCAGUGAUCAUGCCAUUACACUGAUGCUAUGAAGCAGAUUUUCUUUAUUUUUCAAAUGAGAGCCAGCCUAUGGCAAAAUUGCUCUGUGGAUAAUCUUUAUCUUUGGAUAAAUAUCUGGACCCAAGGGGUCCAGAAUCCAACACUUUUUUUUAAUGGCCACACCUGCGGCAUAUGGAAGUUCCCAGGCCAGGGAUGGAACCCGAGCCCCUGCCGUCAGAUUCCCACCGCAGUGGGAACUCCCAGAAUUCAACACCUUUGAUUCUUCCCCCUCUGCCCAAACUGUCUAACCCCCUCCCCAAGCCUGAUGCUGUCAGUACCAUUGGAAUAAACUGAUCCUAAAGGAUGAGCAGCUGAGAGUCCCAGAUGGACCUCUGGGUAACCUGGGCCCACGUGUACGAGGUACUUGCUGAAUUUUCGUGAGGGAAUCUGGAGACAACAUUCACUGGGCUCCUUGGUUUUCUUACCUUAGGGACCCCUCAGGUUGUGGUGGAAAUUUCAAACUAGAAAAGAAGGGAACGGGUUUCUGCUUUCACCCCUUCCCCUGCCCUAGGUGGGCAGAGAACUCAACCUCUUUUGGGGGGACUCCUUAUUUAUCGAGAUGUCUUGCUCAGAGUCCCUCUUCCAGAAAGGGCUCGUUCCCCUUUCAAGAAAGCUGUGAGGCAUGUGGCGCCUCGCAGCCUCCACUGACAACCGGUUCAGAUGGCCCUCCACUCCUGAGCCGAGCUAGUGGUGUCCUUGGGGCAGCCCAUCCAGUGACUGCGCGAGACUGUGGUACAAGGUCCCAUCCAUUUCUGCCUAAGCCGGGACUCUCAGAGUUCCCAGGGGGUCUGACAGAGGCCGUCUCAGAUCCCUUUUCCCUUUCUCAAGUGUCCCUCCCAGUAAGCUUUUCACACUCCUAAAUCUGCCUUAGUAUCUCCUUUCCGGGGACCCAGAUGGUACCGAUGGGAUGCUCUUAGCUCCAAGCAACCUCCCUCGGUGAAGGGAGUGCAUAUUUUAGAACUGAAUUUGAGCCAGUACCAGCAGAAUAUGUAAUCACCCUGGAUGCUAGGGACCAAGGAAUACUUCCAUUCUGGCACAUGAAUCACAUCAGCUUUAUUUCUUGCUAUUCAUCUUGGCACGGACUGGGUCUUGGUGUUAUAUAACACGGCCUGACUUGUUGCUCCCGGCUUUCUCAAUGAGCGAUUUGUUCAAUUCAGAGUGUGACUAAAGACAAGGUCACUAAGUCCGUUUCUAGCCAGCCAGUUAGUUUCAAAUCCAGUUGCCUGUUACAAAUGGAUUGUUAUCUGGUCAUAUAUGGACUCCAGAAGCCCCUCGCCCACACUGAGUCAUGACUUAGGUUAGUCGUUUCCCAGCCACCUGGCAGACUGUUACCUUUCCCAUGGGUCAUUUAUAAAAUGCACUAUAGUCUGGGGUUGGGUAAGUAAGUCUUUUUUUGGGGGGGAGGGGGUUCUUUUAAGGGCUGCACCUGCAGCAUAUGGAAGUUCCUGGGGUGGGGUCGAAUCGGAACUGCAGCUGCCAGCCCAUGCCACAGCCAGGGCAACUAAGGAUCUGAGCCGCAUCUACACUUCCACCACAGCUUGCAGCAAUGCCAAAUCCUUAACCCACUGGGUGAGGCCAGGGAUCAAACUCGCAUCCUUAUGGUUACGAGUCGGGGUCUUAACCCACUGAGUCACAACAGGAACUUCCAAGGGUGAGGAAGUCUAAUGUGGUUGGUGAUCAGGUACUUAACUUGUGACCACAGGUGGAAGAGAAUAGUUUUUGCUUUUCUGGGGUGUGGAAGCAUCUCCCAAUUCCUUAUUAGAAGAGCAAUACUCCCCCAAACUACCCAUCCUUCCAUCCAUUCAUCCAUCAAACAUUCAUCCACCGAGAGAGUUGCUCCUUGGCCUUCACUUCAUCACACUUGCAGCUGCAUCCUUAGUGCCACAUUUUGGGGAAAUCUACAUGCAGCUUUUUCAGUAGUAACUCUCACCUCUGGGGUUUAAAUUGUCACUUGUUCCUUUUCUAUCUGUCCUUCAUGUCAGAACGUCCAUCCUUGACCUGUGUUAUAGAGUCAAUAAGGGAGUUCCCGUUGUGGCUCAGUGGAAAUGCACCUGACUAGUAACCACGAGGAUGUGAACUAGCCUGGCCACUUCCAUAUGCUGUAAGUGGGGCCCUAACGAACAAACUAACUAACUAACUAAAAUUGAGUCAGUAAGAGAAAGUGCUCUGGGAUCAGACAAUCUUGGGUCAAAUAUGGGUUCUCCCACUUACUGGCUGUGUGAUCUUGGUGAGUUUGCUUAACCUGAGUCUCAGUUUAUACCUCUGUAAACAGAAUGAUCGUUCUCAUCAAACAGAACUAUUAUAAGGAUUAUAUGAAAUAAUAUUUGUAAAGCAAUUAUCUAACACUCACUGAUACUUUAUGACAUCAAAGUAUUAUUUUUUAAUAUCUGACCCAUGGACAGAUGAUUUUUGUACUGCUGCAAAAUAUAUCCCCGUUAUAACUAUUUGCCUUGGUAAGUGGAUCCUGGCACAGUCCCCUGCUUGAACAAACAUGACUUUGAACAAGACCUUCUUUAUCUGAUUACCAGAUUGUUUCUGAGUUUACGUCUAAGUGCCUUAAAUAUAAAAGUAACUGAUGCAACUUGACUGUACUGUAGUACUUUGUAUUUGCGCGCCGAAGCGAGCACUGUAAUAUACUAGUCUGGAUUCAGGUGUCAGUGUCAUGUUUGCAAUGUGGGACUACAAUUGUUUUAAAAUAAUCUCUGUUCUUAAAAGGUGGGUAGAUGUUUGGGGCCUGGGCAGCUCAGCCCUGGAAUGACUGGUUACUCCUGUCGUCAGUUGGUCCCAUAAAUAGAGCCCAAAGGCUAGCUCUCCAGGGUGGGGACACAGGACAGGAUGGACCCUUGGUCCAUCUGCUUCUGUUGUACUGACUGAGGCUGGCUCCUCAGACUCACCUUUCUCCACAAAACCUUGACAUCCCAGACAGCCUCCAUCUCCCUCUCCACUGGGCCGGGAGACAAAAUUGUGGUCCAUUAAAGCUGGUGUUUUUUUUUUAGACAAAGCUCUGCUCAUCUGGAGGGAAAAAUUCUCUGGCUCUGUUCCUGGAAUUACGUGGUCCGUCGUCCAUUGGACCAAGCCACGUUUUCUUUUUCCCCUGUUGUUCCUCUUCUACAUCACUCUUGGCUUUUCUGUUCUCCUGUAUUGCUUUUCUUUUUCUUUUUGUUUCGUUUUUUUUCUUUUCUUUUACUUUCUACCUUAUAAUUAGAUUGUUUUCAAAACAUCCACACACUGGCCAGGAGUUUCUUGAGCACACAGCCCUUAUCUUAUUAAUCUCUUUAGCUCCUGAAAGUGCCGAGUACAGAGUAGGCAUUUGUUUUGUUUUUUUAGGGCUGCACCUGCGGCCUAUGGAAAUUCCCAGGCUAGGGGUCAGGUUGGAGCUGCAGCUGCAGUCUUACACCACAGCCACAGCAACACCAGAUCCGAGUGUCAUCUGUGAUCUAUGCUGCAGCUUGCGGCCACACUGGAUCCUUCACCUACUAAACAAGGCCAAGGAUCAAACCUACAUCCUCAUGGGUACUAGUUGGGUUCUUAACCUGCUGAAGCAUAAUGGGAACUCUGCGAGCAGGCAUUUGUAAAUGGUAGUUGAGCUAAGUUGAGUCAUCAUUAUUUCUCAAAAAUCCUUUAGAAGCACUAGCUCCCAAAUCAGCUUGCUAUGCUCAAGACAAAAUUACUCUGUCAGAUGAUUGCCCUUUGUAUCUUGCAUUAUGUAAUAGAGGUAUUCCCUAUUGAUGGGUAGUCAGGUGAACUUUUGUAAAAUGAAUCCUUAUUCCAUGAACUUAUACUAUCUCCUGGGAGAUGCUAACACCCGUGGUUACUCUUUUUCUAUUUCCUUUUUUGGUCAUCUUUCCCCAUGUCUCUAUCCUUCCUAUCUUCCACUGUUUGAAAGUCAGUAUCACCCAACUGUGGUAUUUAUUGGUCAUCUAUAAGUUGUGAGAGUGUUUUCAGGUCAUUAAUUUACAGCACCUACUGCAAAUAUUUCAAUGCAGCGCACAAAUAUUAUUUAAGGGCAUCCUGUUGGAAAGCUAAGCAUCGCUCUUGAUCGACUUAAUAGUCGUUUGGCUUUGGUUUUGUCUGGGUUUUCUUUUUAAAAAAAUUUUGUUGAAGUAUAGUUGAUUUAUAAUGUGUUAAUUUCUUCUUAAUCGCAGAGCGAUUCAGUUAUACUCACAAAUUCUUUUUUAAAAUAAAUGUUAUUGGAGUAUAGUUGACUUAGAAAGUUGUCUUAGUUUCAGGCGUACAGCAGAGUAAAUCAGUUAUGCAUAUACCUAUAUCCAUUCUUUUUCAGAUUAUUUUCCCAUGUAGGUUAUUACACAGUAUUGAAAUUUCCCUGUGCUAUACAGUAGAUCCCUGUUAACCAUCUAUUUUAUAUAUAGUAGUGUGUAUAGUUGUACAUAUUUAUUCUUAUUUGUAUUCUUUUCCAUUAUGGCUCAUCAUAGGAUAGUGAAUGUAGUUCCCUGUGCUAUACAGCAGGACCUUGUUGUUUAUCCAUCCUGUAUAUAAUAGUUUGCAUCUGCUAAUCCCAAACUCCCAAUCCAUCCCUCCCUCCACUUGGCAACCACAGGUCUGUUCUCUACAUCUAUUUCUGUUUCGUAGAUAAACUCAUUUUAUUGGGUUUUUCUCUUUUUCCUUUUUGGCCACCCCUCGAUAUACGGAGUUCCCGGGCAUUUCCCCACCUUCAUUGAAAGUUGCUAAGGAGUUCUCUGGUGGCCUAGCACUUAGGAAUCCAGCAUUGUUACUGCACCUGCUUGGGUCACUGCUGUGCCACAGAUUCAAUCCCUGGCCCAAGAACUUCCGCAUGCCUCAGGCACAGUUUAAAAAAAAAAAACAAAACAAAAAAA